CCGGCGCACGGGUGAGUAACACGUAUCCAACCUGCCGUCUACUCUUGGACAGCCUUCUGAAAGGAAGAUUAAUACAAGAUGGCAUCAUGAGUCCGCAUGUUCACAUGAUUAAAGAUAUUCCGGUAGACGAUGGGGAUGCGUUCCAUUAGAUAGUAGGCGGGGUAACGGCCCACCUAGUCUUCGAUGGGUAGGGGUUCUGAGAGGAAGGUCCCCCACAUUGGAACUGAGACACGGUCCAAACUCCUACGGGAGGCAGCAUG
rnacentral:rRNA from 1 species